GUCCUUCUUGGUCCUCCUCCACCUCCCGAGCCUCCUCUUGGUCCUUCAUCUCCUCCUGAACCUCCUCUUGGUCCAUCUCGGUCCUCCAUCUUCUCCUGAGCCUCCUCUUGGUCCUCCAUCUUCUCCCGAGCCUCCUCUUGGUCCUCCAUCUUCUCCCGAGCCUCCUCUUGGCCCUUCUUGGCCCUUCUUGGCCCUUCUUGGCCCUUCUUGGCCCUUCUUGGCCCUUCUUGGCCCUUCUUGGCCCUUCUUGGCCCUUCUUGGCCCUUCUUGGUCCUUCU
rnacentral:lncRNA from 1 species